rnacentral:misc_RNA from 1 species
GAUGAAGAACGUAGCGAAAUGCGAUAAGUAAUGCGAAUUGCAGAAUUCAGUGAGUCAUCGAAUCUUUGAACGCACAUUGCGCCCUGUGGUAUUCCGCAGGGCAUGCCUGUUCGAGCGUCAUUUCAACCCUCAAGCCCCGCUUGGUGUUGGGCCCCGCCCGCUGUGGCCGGCCCUAAAGACAGUGGCGGCGCCGCCUGGCCCUCAGCGUAGUACAUCUCUCGCUCCAGGGUCCGGUGGACGCCUGCCAGAACCCCCCAACUCUGUGGUUGACCUCGGAUCAGGUAGGGAUACCCGCUGAACUUAAGCAUAUCAAUAAGCGGAGGA